UACGUAGGGGGCUAGCGUUGUCCGGAAUCAUUGGGCGUAAAGCGCGUGUAGGCGGUUCGGUAAGUCCGCUGUGAAAGUCGGGGGCUCAACCCUCGAAAGCCGGUGGAUACUGUCGGGCUAGAGUACGGAAGAGGCGAGUGGAAUUCCUGGUGUAGCGGUGAAAUGCGCAGAUAUCAGGAGGAACACCAAUUGCGAAGGCAGCUCGCUGGGACGUUACUGACGCUGAGAAGCGAAAGCAUGGGGAGCGAACAGG
rnacentral:rRNA from 1 species